rnacentral:rRNA from 1 species
GAUGAACGCUGGCGGCGUGGCUAAUACAUGCAAGUCGAGCGAACAGACGAGGAGCUUGCUCCUCUGACGUUAGCGGCGGACGGGUGAGUAACACGUGGAUAACCUACCUAUAAGACUGGGAUAACUUCGGGAAACCGGAGCUAAUACCGGAUAAUAUAUUGAACCGCAUGGUUCAAUAGUGAAAGACGGUUUUGCUGUCACUUAUAGAUGGAUCCGCGCCGCAUUAGCUAGUUGGUAAGGUAACGGCUUACCAAGGCAACGAUGCGUAGCCGACCUGAGAGGGUGAUCGGCCACACUGGAACUGAGACACGGUCCAGACUCCUACGGGAGGCAGCAGUAGGGAAUCUUCCGCAAUGGGCGAAAGCUUGACGGAGCAACGCCGCGUGAGUGAUGAAGGUCUUCGGAUCGUAAAACUCUGUUAUUAGGGAAGAACAAAUGUGUAAGUAACUAUGCACGUCUUGACGGUACCUAAUCAGAAAGCCACGGCUAACUACGUG